UACGGAGGGUGCAAGCGUUAUCCGGAUUCACUGGGGUUAAAGGGUGCGUAGGCGGGUAGGUAAGUCAGUGGUGAAAUCUCCGAGCUUAACUUGGAAACUGCCGUUGAUACUAUCUGUCUUGAAUGCUGUGGAGGUAAGCGGAAUAUGUCAUGUAGCGGUGAAAUGCUUAGAUAUGACAUAGAACACCUAUUGCGAAGGCAGCUUGCUACACAGAAAUUGACGCUGAGGCACGAAAGCGUGGGGAUCAAACAGG
rnacentral:rRNA from 1 species